GAAAAGACAACCCAUGAAAUGGGGAAAAUAUUUGCAAAUCAUCUAUCUGAUGAGGGUCUCGUAUCCAGAAUACAUAAAGACUCCUACAACUUGAUAACAGAAGGACAACUCAGUUUAAAGAUGGGCAAUGACCUUGAAUAGCUAUUUCUCCAAAGAAGAUGCAUAGUCCUGAUUCAUUAACCCCUCGUUAAGAAUCCCUAUUCCUGCGCUCUCUGCUCCUUCCUCAGACCGAGAAGCGGAAACUUGGAGACCGUAGCCAAUCGGAUGGCUGAAAUCUCAUGACGUCACUGGUUGCCACGCUAGGGUCCAAAGUCUCCCCGGCGCUCACCUUCCGCUCCUGGAGGCGUCCGCUGGCUCCCACCACCCGCCCCCAGCGAGCUUGCAGGAGGCGCUGAGCAGAGGCGCGGACACCGAGGCGGCGAGGGUGCUUGGUGAACUGAUGGUUGUCCCCUGGGUCGAUGAGGAUCUGCAGGUUCACCAGGGUGACUCCUUGGAUCAAUUUGAGGCGUAUGCAGUUUGCUUGAUGCCCAAGUGCUCCCUACACUGUUUGGGUCCCAUCCAGUCCCACGUAGGAGGCAUCAGAGGGUGGCAUGGGCUGAAGGAGCAGACUGUUGCUGUGUUACAAGGACAUCAGGAUGGCAAAAGUCUGGCAAUGAGGGGUCAUUUUUUUUUUUUUUUUUGCAAGAGAAGCAGAAUGGUUUUCAUCCACAUGUGUCAUAAACUUUGUACAUUUUGUUGUCUCUGCCUUUGUGUGAAAGUCAGCCAAGGAGCUUUCCUGAUCUUCAGUUUUGGUGCAGACAACAUUGUAUACAAGGACGUAUUAGAUUUCCAGGAAUUUCACAUAAUUUCUGGAAAUCACAACAUAUAUUUAUAAAGACAUAACAUAAUGUAAUUUAAUAUACCAAGCAUCUAAUUCAUUUAAUAUCUCCCUCUUUGUAGAGAGAAUAAAUUCUUUGAGAAGUCUCAGAGCUCAUUGAAAACUCCCAAAGUUCCUUUUUAAGUCAAAAGAAAGAUUUUACCCAGGAUUUGAAGCCUGGGGGAAGUUUGUUAAAAAUAUCAAAAGGUUUUACCCCCCAAAAUCCAUUGGAAAACUGAUGGAA